AAUUAAAUAUAAAAGAUUAAUUUUUAUUUUUUGAUAUUUAAAUUUAUAUUUAGGAAUUUUGAAUUAUAUUAUUUUUAAAAUAUUAAUAAAAAUUAGAUAAAUUAUAUAAAAUAUUAAUUACUUAGUAAUUAAGAUAAAAAGUAAGAUUUAGUUUAUAGUUUAAUAGUAAAGUGAUUGAAAUUUUAAAAUUAGUUAAAAAUAAAAAUUUUUAAAAGUAAAAUUAAUUUUUUGUAUCUUGUGUAUCAGAGUUUAAAAAUUUAAAAUAAUUAUAUAUUAAUUUCUCGAAAAAAUAAGAUCUAAGAAUUUAAUAUUGUUAAUGUAAAAUAAUUAUAAAUAAUAAAUUUUUAGAAAUGAAAUGUUUUCGUUUUUUUUUAUAUCUAGUUUUAAAAGAAAAAUUUUUAAUAUGAUUUAUAUUUUUAUUGUUUAAAAUAAUAUUUAGUUAUGUGAUAAAAUAAAAAUAAUUAAUUUUUAUUAAGAAAAUUAAUUGAUUUAUUGAAAAUUAAGUAUAAUUAGUUAAAAGUAGGGAUAAGCUUAUUUUUAAAAAUUUAAAUAAAAAUUAGAGAUUUAUAAUAAAAUUAUAGUAUUAGAAUUUUAAAUUAAGUUAAAGUUUGUAAUUAAAUUAUUUAUUUAUAAAAUUAAUUUUUUAAUAAUGAUUAAAAAUUUAUUUUAAAAUAAUUUAUAAUAAAAUUAAAAUUAGUUAAAAUGUUAAAAUUAGUAUAAAUUUAAAUAUUUUUUUUAAAAAAAGUAUUUUAAAAUUAAAAUAAUGAAUUCGGCAAAGAUUUUAUUUUUUAAAUAAUUAAUAAUUCAUCUGUUUAACAAAAACAUAGUUUUUUGUUUUAAAUUUAAAAUUUAAUCUGCCCACUGAAAAUUAUUUUUAAAGGGCUGCAGAAAUUUAACUGUACAAAGGUAGCAUAAUAAUUUGUUUCUUAAUUGGAAACUUGAAUGAAUGAUUGGAUGAGAUUUAAGCUUUAUUAUUUUAAAUUUUAUAAUUUAAUUUUUUAAUAAAAAAGUUAAAAUAAAAAAAAAAGACGAGAAGACCCUUUAGAGUUUGAUUUUAUUUUUUAAAUUAUUUAUUCUAUUUAAUAAAAUAAAUUAUAAAAUUUAUUAAAAUUUAAAAUUUAAUUGGGGUGAUUGAUAAAUUGGAGGCAACUUUAUUAAAAAAUUUUAAUUAAUUUUAUUAUAAGAAAUUUUUUUUUAUUAAAAUUAUUUAGUUUUAUGGCAAUUAGAAUAAAUUACCUAAGGGAUAACAGCGUUAUUUUUAAUUUAAGAUCUUAUUAAAUUGAAAGAGUGCGACCUCGAUGUUGGAUUAAGAUAAAUUUUAAAUGGAAAGAUUUAAAUAUUUAGUCUGUUCGACUAUUAAAAUCUUACAUGAUCUGAGUUCAAACCGGUGUGAGCCAGGUUGGUUUCUAUCUUUUUUGGGUUUAAUAAUUUUUAGUACGAAAGGAUUUUAAUUAUUUUAAAAUUUUAAAAA
rnacentral:rRNA from 1 species